rnacentral:lncRNA from 12 species
AUGAUUUCUCAGUGUCCUUUUACUGCUCAUGAGCCUAACAUUCCUGUAAAAGAGAGUAUUCCUGAAGAACGGAGCAGUGCCAGGGUAACUCUGACCUGGAUCUGUAGGGUGGGCCAUUUCAGUGAAGAAAGGCUGCCAGAUGCAGAUAAAAACCAGAAGUGUGAGGAACUAAAUGGAAGCAGAAAGCUGGCCAACUUCUUUCCAUCCCAUCUGGCAGACCCUGCAGUAACACACACUGACACACCUGGCCACAAGGGAAACAGCUAUACUCUGUACAAGUUUGCUUUUGGCUUCCUAUGUCUUGAGAGUUGGAAUGUGGCUGAAAGACACCCAAUGGUCUGAGCAGAAAUGGAAGGGCGGUGCAACUGAAGUGCUUGAGGCUGUUCACGACAAUUUAAUAUAUCCUAACCAAUAACCAGAAAGUUGGGGCCCGGCAGCCUAUAGAACCUCGAGAGACCCUGGGGAGAAGUGGUCAGUUCCUGGGGACCCAACAUAAGGGGGAACUUUUUUUUUCCAAACAAGGACUACAUCUUGGAGUUGCAGAUGCUCAUAAAGGGGAUCAUAAGGGAGAUGGCCAGCCCUUCAUCAAAAUCCCUCCUCUCCUACCGUGUCCAGCAGCCAACGGGAAACUGCAGAUUGGACAAGCCUUCUGUUUCCCAGCCUCUCAGCCUCCACCCCAGAAAAUGGGCCAGGACUUGUGAGAGAACAAGGUAUGGGCCAUUGGAGAAGAACCCCAUCUCCUCGGGCACCUAGCUGGCUCAGUCAGUUGAGCAUCCGACUCUUCAUUUUGGCUCAAGUCAUGAUCUUGGAUCAUGGGAUCCCCGCUUAGGCUCAGUGUGGAGUCUGCUUGACAUUCUCUCUCUCCCUCUCCCUCUGUCCUCUGCCUGCUCUCAUGCUCUCUCCCAUACUCUGUCUCUCUAAAAUAAAUAAAUAGAUAAAAUCUUAGGGGAAAAAAAA